GACGAACGCUGGCGGCGUGCUUAACACAUGCAAGUCGAACGGAAAGGCCCUGCUUUUGUGGGGUGCUCGAGUGGCGAACGGGUGAGUAACACGUGAGUAACCUGCCCUUGACUUUGGGAUAACUUCAGGAAACUGGGGCUAAUACCGGAUAGGAGCUCCUGCUGCAUGGUGGGGGUUGGAAAGUUUCGGCGGUUGGGGAUGGACUCGCGGCUUAUCAGCUUGUUGGUGGGGUAGUGGCUUACCAAGGCUUUGACGGGUAGCCGGCCUGAGAGGGUGACCGGCACCAUUGGACUUGGGUAAGGGCCAGGAUUCUUACGGGAGGAAGAGGUGGGAAUAAUGGCACAAGGGGCGGAGGCCGGAGGAACAACCGCGGGGUCGGGAAUAACGGCCUUGGGUUGUAAACCGCUUUCGCCUGUGACGAAGCGUGAGUGACGGUAAUGGGUAAAGAAGCACCGGCUAACUACGUG
rnacentral:rRNA from 1 species